rnacentral:lncRNA from 1 species
AACCGCUACCUCUCAAGUAAGUCUGGAAGCUCUAAUCUGAAGAUGAGUAAUAAGCCGGAUCUGAUAGAGCUGUCAACCUACACAACUGUGUAGAAGCAAGGGUGAGUACCAAAAGCAACAGGUACUCGCAAGUAACACAAAACUAAGCUAAACUAGCAGCUACAAACAACUCCUUCCAAUCCCAACCGAACCACCGAAGCUUCAUUCUAACAGCGAACCAAC